rnacentral:rRNA from 1 species
GACGAACGCUGGCGGCGUGCUUAACACAUGCAAGUCGAACGGAAAGGCCCUGCUCUUGUGGGGUGCUCGAGUGGCGCACGGGUGAGUAUCACGUGAGUAACCUGCCCUUGACUUUGGGAUAACUUCAGGAAACUGGGGCUCUUACCGGAUAGGAGCUCCUUCUGCAUGGUGUUUAUUGGAGAGAUUCGGCGGUUGGGGAUUGACUCGCGGCUUCUCAGCUUGUUGGUGGGGUAGUGGCUUACCAAGGCUUUGACGGGUAGCCGGCCUGGGAGGGUGACCGGCCACAAUGGGACUGAGAUACGGCCCAGACUGCUACGGGAGGCAGCAGUGGAGAAUAUAGCACAAUGGGCGGAGGCCGGAUGCAGCAACGCCGCGUGCGGGAUGACGGCCUGCGGGGUGUAAACCGCGUUCGCCUGGGACGAAGCGCGAGUGACGGUAAUGGGUAAAGAAGCACCGGCUAACUACGUG